rnacentral:hammerhead_ribozyme from 1 species
GUAUUUCUGAAGAGUCCCACAAUAGGACGCAACGACCGUCCAGUGU